UCCAAGGAUCAACUGGAUCUGCAACCCAGUGCACAAGCACAGAGAACUACGUGGUCUCACUUCAGCUGGUAAGAAAUACAGAGGACUCCGCGGAAGAGGACAUCUCCACCACAAAGCUCGCCCGUCAAGAAGGGCAACCUGGAAAAGGAACCAGACUCUAUCUCUCCGCCGUUACCGUUGAUCUGCUUGACCUUUUUGAGACAUUAUCGUUUUGCUUAAUAUUUUUGCAUUAUCUGGUUUUUAGCCCUUUUAUCUUGAGACAUUACUAUUUACUGUUGUCAGCCUGAGAGAGUUUACUGAAUUAAAACAAUAGAUUGCAGCAAAUUUUGUGUUGAAAGUGUGCAUUUUCUUUGCUUAUAAUAUCUGAUUAAAGUAAUGACUCUAAACAAAUACCAUAGAUGAGUGAUACAUUUAAUAUGUUUUAAAUGAAAA
rnacentral:misc_RNA from 1 species